rnacentral:rRNA from 1 species
UACAGAGGGGGGCGAGCGUUAUUCGGAAUUAUUGGGCGUAAAGGGCGCGUAGGCGGCUUUGCAAGUGACGGGUGAAAUCCCUCGGCUUAACCGAGGAACUGCCUGUCAGACUGCAUGGCUUGAGACCGGGAGAGGUGAGUGGAAUUCCCCAGUGUAGCGGUGAAAUGCGUAGAUAUUGGGAGGAACACCAGUGGCGAAGGCGGCUCACUGGACCGGUACUGACGCUGAGGCGCGAAAGCGUGGGGAGCAAACAGG